UUCCAGGUUGCUCACAGACCCCCUCUAGGAGAUGUUACUGUCGCUCAUUCGUAUUUCCGGUUCUACUCCUCUUCCGGGCACACUGGAGAAUUACACUUCCUUGCUGACUUGAGAUAAGUCACAGCUUUGGCCAAUGAAGUGUGAAUGGAAGUUUUCAGAACCUUUAAGAGCCUGUACGCAAUUUGCCAUGCUUUCUCUUUUUGCUUUGUCACCAAAACCUCUGUGUUCCAGAUAGUGACUACUCUGUCUGCGUGGGUCCUGGAGAGAGGAGGAUGCAGAGCACAGCACUUAGCCAACCUGCAAUGGACACGUAGAAAACCUCAAGAAAGGCUCUGGCCUAGACUUGCCCCUUGUUCCUGUCUUCUGGCUCUUGACUGACACUGGUGCUUUCCCCCUGUGGUCCUGCAUGGUGUGUGGUGACUACCUCAUUGGGCCCUAAAACUUCUAAAAUCAUCAGGAGAUAUCACUGAAAAGGUUUCAAAACAAAGCCAUAAUCUCUAGAAAUGUGUCCUUGAUGGGUUGGUCUUCAUUUGCCUGAAGACUGAUCAUUCUAAGGAGGAUUUUGUGCUGCUCUUGUUUUGCUGCUGGGCCUAUCCUGUUUCCAUUCCCAAAUCAAGUAUUCCUGGAAUUUAAGGUAUCACUUUACCAGCCUGACCACAAGUUCCCCAUUGUUUCCUCUGCUCUGCUCAUGACCUGGAAUAAUGCCUCUCCCUGGAUACUAAAUUUACUGACCCUGCCUAGGACCGAGAAGAUUGAUGAGUCCUCAACCCGUGCAUGUCUUCAAAAAGUUCAACUCCCAAGAUUCCCAACCUCGGUGUGUGAGUCACAUUGCAAUUGCCUACGAUAUGCAUCUGCACGGAUUCCUUCUGCUUCAGCAGGGAAUUUCAAGCUCCUGCCUGC
rnacentral:lncRNA from 10 species